UACGUAGGUGGCAAGCGUUGUCCGGAUUUAUUGGGUUUAAAGGGUGCGUAGGCGGCCCUGUAAGUCAGUGGUGAAAUACGGCAGCUCAACUGUCGAGGUGCCAUUGAUACUGCGGGGCUUGAGUGUUGAUGAGGUAGGCGGAAUUGACGGUGUAGCGGUGAAAUGCUUAGAUAUCGUCAAGAACACCGAUAGCGAAGGCAGCUUACCAAGCAAUAACUGACGCUGAGGCACGAAAGUGCGGGGAU
rnacentral:rRNA from 2 species